rnacentral:rRNA from 1 species
AAUGAACGCUGGCGGCAGGCCUAACACAUGCAAGUCGAACGAAGCCUUCGGGCUUAGUGGCGGACGGGUGGGUAACGCGUGGGAACGUGCCCUUUGCUUCGGAAUAGCCUCGGGAAACUGGGAGUAAUACCGAAUGUGCCCUACGGGGGAAAGAUUUAUCGGCAAAGGAUCGGCCCGCGUUGGAUUAGGUAGUUGGUGGGGUAAUGGCCUACCAAGCCUACGAUCCAUAGCUGGUUUUAGAGGAUGAUCAGCCACACUGGGACUGAGACACGGCCCAGACUCCUACGGGAGGCAGCAGUGGGGAAUCUUAGACAAUGGGCGCAAGCCUGAUCUAGCCAUGCCGCGUGAUCGAUGAAGGCCUUAGGGUUGUAAAGAUCUUUCAGCUGGGAAGAUAAUGACUGUACCAGCAGAAGAAGCCCCGGCUAACUUCGUGCCAGCCGCCGCCGUAAAAC